GAUGAACGCUAGCGGCAGGCUUAAUACAUGCAAGUCGAGGGGCAGCAUGAUUGUAGCAAUACAAUUGAUGGCGACCGGCAAACGGGUGCGGAACACGUACACAACCUUCCAAUAAGUGGGGAAUAGCCCAGAGAAAUUUGGAUUAAUACCCCGUAACAUAACGAUGUGGCAUCACAUUGUUAUUAUAGAUUUUUCGCUUAUUGAUGGGUGCGCGGCUGAUUAGAUAGUUGGCGGGGUAACGGCCCACCAAGUCUACGAUCAGUAGCUGAUGUGAGAGCAUGAUCAGCCACACGGGCACUGAGACACGGGCCCGACUCCUACGGGAGGCAGCAGUAAGGAAUAUUGGACAAUGGACGCAAGUCUGAUCCAGCCAUGCCGCGUGAAGGAUUAAGGUCCUCUGGAUUGUAAACUUCUUUUAUAAGGGACGAAAAAAGGUCUUUCUAGAUCGUCUGACGGUACCUUAUGAAUAAGCACCGGCUAACUCCGUGCCAGCCGCCGCCGUAAUAC
rnacentral:rRNA from 1 species